UCCCACCACGAAACUCAGAAGAGGGCUCUCCUCAGAAUUGAUCUCACCAGCACCCUCAUCUGGGACAUGUGGCCUCCAUAAUAGAUGAACCUAGAGAAUGGUUUUCAAUCCUGGUUGGACAUGAAAGUCAUCCAAGGAGUUUUUAAGAAGCAUUGAUAUGUCAGCUCUGUCCCGGUGAUGUUGGUGAGAGUAACAUUACCGUGUGACCUCAUCCACCUUACUCACAAGAUCUGGCACCAUGUGACUUCUGGCUCUUCCCCAAAGUUAAAAUGAUCAUGAAAGGUAAAUGCUUCAAAUGGAUCCAGGACAUGGAGACAGCCAUGACAAAGCAAGUAAAGGCACUAAGGAAGACUUCCAGAGUUACUUCAGAAAAUGACAAGAACAAUGGAAUAAGUGUGUUCAAAGGGAUGAGGAGUAUUUGGAGAGGAUUAAUGGCAAUGUGUCUUUUACUGCAACAAUUUUUAAUUCAAGCAGUUCCCAUAUUUUGUGAUCAGACUUCAUAUAUACACAAAAGAAUUCAGUCAGGAUCUUGAUAAGUUUGUACUCUUAGCUCAUACCAACAUUGAUUUACAAUAGCCAAAAAUAUAGAAGCAACUCAAAUGUCCAUUAAAUCUCCAAACUAUUGGAUAAAGAAAAUUUGGUAUAUUCAUACAAGAGGAUAUUACCUUUGUGAAAGAAAGAAAUCCUGCCAUUUGUAAAACAUAUAUGAACCGGUAGAACAUUAUCUUAAUGAAGUAAUCCAGUCACAGAAAGAAAAGUACUGUAUGAUUUUUCUUGUACGAGGUGUACAAAUAGCCAAAC